GCUCCCAUGGCCUAGUGGUUAGAGAGUCCGUUUCGGAUGCGAAAGUCGUGGGUUCGAUCCCCGCUCGAGUCA